CUUGACCGGAGAGCGCAGCGGAACGAAGGAGGUGGGAGGAUCGGUAGCUAUCCCGGGCUGGGAGAGGCGGAGGAAGGCGGUUACAUGGCCCCUUCUUCUGCAGGGUUGAAAGCGAAGGAGGACUCUAGUACUGCAGCAACGGCGGGAAAGGAGGAGGGCAGCCGCCGGCCAGCAACAGCGCAGCCUCCUGCAUCCUCUCGGUGCGCAGCGGCGUCACUCUCUCCUCUCUCUCUCUCUCAAUAAACGCAGCCGCCGCGGAACGAGCACGCCCGAUCGGCCCCGAAGCCUUUCGCGUUCGAGCCUGGCCUAUACCGGGCCGCUCGUGCUGUGCUGUGCUGCGCUCCGAUCCCGGCUCUUCCCUUCUUUCUCAUCGGCGCCAGCCCUGAUUCUCUGCGCUUCUCUAACACCGGGCGGGGAGGGGGAGUAACGGCUCGCACUGCGGCUGCCCAGCCUGGGGCUCUGGGAACUGUAGUCCCCCCCACCUCCUUCUUCUUCUGUCCGCCUCUUUCUGACGUGUGAUGGACGAGGCCGCUGCGGAGCACUUCGAAGCCGCUAACUCCGGCCGAGUGAAGAAAGGAAGAAAACGAUGAGCAUCGCUGCUACGGAGUCUGACCCGGCUGGCCGAAGAGCGGGGAUUUCCGUCAAGAAGACCAGGAAGUCUUGGAAUGAGACGAUCGUUGCCUUCGGGAAGGAAUACAGCGAAUUCACUUUUUGGGAGCGGGGACGUCUUCACUCUCUCCUCUCCUUGACCCGCAAACAGGAUGGGCAGUUGCAAAGAAGCUUCCCCACAGCAAAGGUUUGGCCCUGGAUGGAUACAUGCUUCGGGGUGAUUGCCACAAGAUGGCCACGAGAUUCCUUCUUUCUAGCCUUCCCCACAAAGGCUGCUUAUUGGGUGGGUGGUGGUACCUCACAUCUGGAGGCAUCCUUUGGAGAUAGAUAACAUCUGGGUCGCUUUUCUGAGGGAUGCUGCUUAUCCGGAUCCACUUCGUUUGGACAGCGGGUCUGGUUUUGGAAUGAGAACUGCCCAUCCUCUCUGUUAACUGUUGCUGUUAGUUCUUGCCUGGUUAUUGCCAUCUAACCAGGUAGUAAAUACUUCCAUUUUAUAUUUGAAGAACACUGAAUUUGGACGAAGAAAUAAUGGAUUUUGGGCAAAAGCAUAGAAGGAAAAUGAAUCAGGAAGGAAAGUCAUAAUGCGAAGCCAAAAGAGCUCAUGGAGCCAUAGGAAGUAAAUUGUCAAGGUGCUGAAUAAGUUCUGAUGGAACCUCAAAUCUACCAAGUUUUCCCCCUCUCUUCCAUCUCUGAAAUUGUUUGGAAGAACUACUCAGAACAGUUUGGUCCCAUCUUUUGCAUGACAGCCCAUCAUGCAAACGACUCCCCACAAUCUUCUCUUCCAUAGGUUAAAUAUACCCAACGUAUACCUAUAAGGAUGUGGAUCCAUUCUUCUUUCUUUUAUUGACAUAGUCAAGAUAGAAUAUAUUCAACAUGAAAGAAAAUACCUGAAAGCUCAUGACCCUACUGGCUUUUUUGACAGCUGAAGUAUACUGAUGACUCAUACUUUAGCACAAGUGGUCCACAAAGAAGCUGAAUACUAAAACUGAAGCUCAAAUACUUUGGCCACCUAACAAGAAGGGAGGACUCAUUGGAAAAGACCCUGAGGCUGGGAAAGAUUGAUGGUAUCUAGAAGUCAUCUAGAUUUGUUUAUACAAGGCGUAGCUGUUGGAUAAAUAUUGAACAGAAGAACAGCACAGAAGAAGUGGAGUUUGAGAAAACAUAACUGAUACUUGUGUCAAAUCACAGCAUACAUGCUGUACACUCAAUAUUAUCCAAAAGGGUAGGAGAGAAAAAUAAAUGUAUCUGA